UACAGAGGGUGCGAGCGUUAAUCGGAAUUACUGGGCGUAAAGCGCACGUAGGCGGCUUGGUAUGUCGGGUGUGAAAUCCCCGGGCUCAACCUGGGAACUGCAUCCGAAACUGCCUUGCUCGAGUAUGGGAGAGGGAAGUGGAAUUUCCGGUGUAGCGGUGAAAUGCGUAGAUAUCGGAAGGAACAUCAGUGGCGAAGGCGACUUCCUGGACCGGCAUUGACGCUGAGGCGCGAAAGCCAGGGGAGCAAACGGG
rnacentral:rRNA from 1 species